AACGUAGGGGGCGAGCGUUGUCCGGAAUUACUGGGCGUAAAGCGCGUGUAGGCGGAUUUUUAAGUCGGGUGUGAAAACUCUGGGCUCAACCCAGAGACUGCAUCCGAAACUGGGGAUCUUGAGGGUGAGAGAGGAAAGUGGAAUUCCUAGUGUAGCGGUGAAAUGCGUAGAUAUUAGGAGGAACACCAGUGGCGAAGGCGGCUUUCUGGCUCAUACCUGACGCUGAGACGCGAAAGCGUGGGGAG
rnacentral:rRNA from 1 species